rnacentral:sRNA from 1 species
GGAAGCAUUAUAGUUCUUCGGAACCAUUAUGAUCUCAAAAGGAAAGGAGAAUGAUACAGAUACACUGGCUGAGGUGUUUUGAGGUGCAUCGAAGUGUUCCAAGCUGUGACUUACCUUAACAUGUUCUUGAAGUACCAUGGCGUGGAUUAAAAGGAAAUUUGGUGAGCGGCCUCCACCUAAACGACUUACUAAGGAAGCUAUGCGAAAUUAUUUAAAAGAGCGAGGGGAUCAAACAGUACUUAUUCUUCAUGCAAAAGUUGCACAGAAGUCAUAUGGAAAUGAAAAAAGGUUUUUUUGCCCUCCUCCUUGUGUAUAUCUUAUGGGCAGUGGAUGGAAGAAAAAAAAAGAACAAAUGGAACGCGAUGGUUGUUCUGAACAAGAGUCUCAACCGUGUGCAUUUAUUGGGAUAGGAAAUAGUGACCAAGAAAUGCAGCAGCUAAACUUGGAAGGAAAGAACUAUUGCACAGCCAAAACAUUGUAUAUAUCUGAUUCAGACAAGCGAAAGCACUUCAUGUUGUCUGUAAAGAUGUUCUAUGGCAACAGUGAUGACAUUGGUGUGUUCCUCAGCAAGCGGAUAAAAGUCAUCUCCAAACCUUCCAAAAAGAAGCAGUCAUUGAAAAAUGCUGACUGUAUGUAUGCUUUUAUUAUUUAUCCCCAACUCCCACCAUGAAUUAAUAAGACAGACUCUUUUUUAAAUUUAAAAUUGCCUUUUCAAUAGCCAAUUAAUUCUUUACUAAUAUUU